CCUACGGGGGGCACCAGUGGGGAAUAUUGCACAAUGGGGGAAACCCUGAUGCAGCGACGCCGCGUGAAGGAAGAAGUAUCUCGGUAUGUAAACUUCUAUCAGCAGGGAAGAAAAUGACGGUACCUGACUAAGAAGCCCCGGCCAACUACGUGCCAGCAGCCGCGGUAAUACGUAGGGGGCAAGCGUUAGCCGGAUUUACUGGGUGUAAAGGGAGCGUAGACGGAUGGACAAGUCUGAUGUGAAAGGCUGGGGCUCAACCCCGGGACUGCAUUGGAAACUGCCCGUCUUGAGUGCCGGAGAGGUAAGCGGAAUUCCUAGUGUAGCGGUGAAAUGCGUAGAUAUUAGGAGGAACACCAGUGGCGAAGGCGGCUUACUGGACGGUAACUGACGUUGAGGCUCGAAAGCGUGGGGAGCAAACAGGAUUAGAUACCCCAGUAGUC
rnacentral:rRNA from 1 species